UCCCAGGUAGCUCAGUGGUAGAGCUAGCGGCUGUUAACCGCUCGGUCGGGGGUUCGAAUCCCUCCCUGGGAGCCA
rnacentral:tRNA from 1 species